AAAAAGUUAAGAGCAUUCACUUAGGGUGAGUAAGAAAUAAGUUGGGGAGAACGAAAAUGAGAAUCAGUAAGUGCCACAACUCUUGAAAAACCGAGCAAGCAUUGAAAAUAAAAAUUAGAAAAGAAAAACAUCUGUUUUGUAAAUAUGAUGUGAAAGAAAAGAAAAAAAAAUAUAAUAUAGAGAAAAUAAAAAUGAAUGCUUGCUUGGAAGAAAAAUAGUGAAAAACAAAAAUUGAGUUGUGAAAUAAGAGUUGUGAAGGUUUCA
rnacentral:lncRNA from 1 species